rnacentral:tRNA from 1 species
AAGGGAGACCUAAUUCAGGUAUGGGACGAAAAAAAAGUAGUCGCUACCAAGAAUCAAUCCCAAAAGGUCGGAGCGAGGUAUGAGGCUUUCAAACUAGGUUCUGGGUUCAAACAAGACCUGAAUCAGGAACAAGGGCUAUUAGCUCAGGUGGUUAGAGCGCACCCCUGAUAAGGGUGAGGUCCCUGGUUCGAGUCCAGGAUGGCCCACCUGCACAGGUGGCGAAAACAAGAGAAGCGAGGAAUCAGCACCUUAUCUUAUCUAUAUAUAAGAGAGAAUGCUGGCUCUGAGUAAAGAGUCCAGAGGAACCUUGAAAACUGCAUAGAGCUAGGUGAAAAAGCCAAAAAAGAAGACCGCAA